CCUACGUGGUGCAGCAGUGAGGAAUAUUGGUCAAUGGUCGGGAGACUGAACCAGCCAAGCCGCGUGAGGGAUGAAGGUACAGAGUAUCGUAAACCUCUUUUGUCAGGGAACAAAGGCGGGGACGUGUCCCCGGAUGAGUGUACCUGAAGAAAAAGCAUCGGCUAACUCCGUGCCAGCAGCCGCGGUAAUACGGAGGAUGCGAGCGUUAUCCGGAUUUAUUGGGUUUAAAGGGUGCGCAGGCGGUCUGUUAAGUCAGCGGUCAAAGCCCGGGGCUCAACCCCGGCCCGCCGUUGAAACUGGCAGUCGCGGGUUGGAGAGAAGUAUGCGGAAUGCGCGGUGUAGCGGUGAAAGGCAUAGAUAUCGCGCAGAACUCCGAUUGCGAAGGCAGCAUGCCGGCUCCACACUGACGCUGAGGCACGAAAGCGUGGGUUUCGAACAGGAUUAGAUACCCUGGUAGUC
rnacentral:rRNA from 1 species